rnacentral:rRNA from 1 species
CACGUAGGGCGCAAGCGUUGUCCGGAAUUAUUGGGCGUAAAGGGCUCGUAGGCGGUUUGUCGCGUCGGGAGUGAAAACCUUGGGCUUAACUCAGGGCUUGCUUUCGAUACGGGCAGACUAGAGGUAUGCAGGGGAGAACGGAAUUCCUGGUGUAGCGGUGAAAUGCGCAGAUAUCAGGAGGAACACCGGUGGCGAAGGCGGGUCUCUGGGCAGUAACUGACGCUGAGGAGCGAAAGCGUGGGGAGCGAACAGG